UACAGAGGUCCCGAGCGUUGUUCGGAUUCAUUGGGCGUAAAGGGUGCGUAGGUGGCGCUGUAAGUGGGGUGUGAAAUCCCGGGGCUUAACCCCGGGACUGCAUUCCAUACUGCGGUGCUUGAGGACUGGAGAGGAGACUGGAAUUUACGGGUGUAGCAGUGAAAUGCGUAGAGAUCGUAAGGAAGACCAGUGGCGAAGGCGGGUCUCUGGACAGUUCCUGACACUGAGGCACGAAGGCCAGGGGAGCAAACGGG
rnacentral:rRNA from 1 species